AUCUUUGCGCAGUGGCAGUAUCGUAGCCAAUAAGGUUUACUUGAGGGGUGAUUAUUGCUAAUUGAAAAUAUUCACUCUUAAAAAUGAAUGCAGGGGUCCAGCGUGGUAGCCUAGUGACUAAAAAUUUUCACCCUGCACACAACAGG